CUAACCUCAAGCUAGCCUUGGUGUUGGGGCCCCACGGCUGCCGUGGGCCCUGAAAAUCAGUGGCGGGCUCGCCGUGAUCCCGAGCGCAGUAGUUAAAUCUCGCUGGGGCUGAUCGGGCGAGCGCCUGCCGUCAAAACCCGCCGCGGGCGACCGCGCGCAACACACCUUA
rnacentral:misc_RNA from 1 species